rnacentral:rRNA from 1 species
UAAAGAUUAAGCCAUGCAUGUCUCAGUACUUGCUUUUACAAGGCGAAACCGCGAAUGGCUCAUUAAAUCAGUUAUGGUUCAAUUGAUCGUAAAUUAUACACGGAUAACUGUGGUAAUUCUAGAGCUAAUACGUGCAAAUAGCUCGGUCCCUUGUGGAACGGGCGCAGUUAUUAGAUCAAAACUAAUCCGGCCUUCGGGUCGGUAAAAUUGGUGACUCUGAAUAACCGAAGCGGAGCGCGUGGUCUCGUACCGGCGCCAGAUCUUUCAAGUGUCUGACUUAUCAGCUUGUUGUUAGGUUACGUUCCUAACAAGGCUUCAACGGGUAACGGGGUAUCAGGGUCCGAUACCGGAGAGGGAGCCUGAGAAACGGCUACCACAUCCAAGA